GAUAGACAUGGCGCUUCUGAAGAAAUGAAAGCGUUUUCGUGGUUAUUUCACUAGUAUAGUUCUUGCAACUCGCAAAACCUUUUGUUUAGGUCCCAGGUUUACACUAGAGUACUAAUAUAUGAAACCGGCAUCCUUGUAAAAAGUGUCCAAGAAGGUCAUAGCAGACAGAAGGGCGGAGCGGCUAAGGUUUCUCCCGGGUUGAUUCUUUUAUGCGUUUGUUCGGCCUGCAACUUAUUGGAACUUAUCUAUGCCAAAAAAGCUGUAAGUUUGCACCUGCUAUUCAUGUUUAGUGUAACUAUUUGGUUAUAUUCUUGAUUGGUUCUGUUGAAUAUUGAUCAGAAUAAACUUUUCAAGGCAAAACCUUCACAAAUU